rnacentral:rRNA from 2 species
UGACGUUAGCGGCGGACGGGUGAGUAACACGUGGGUAACCUACCUAUAAGACUGGGAUAACUUCGGGAAACCGGAGCUAAUACCGGAUAAUAUUUCGAACCGCAUGGUUCGAUAGUGAAAGAUGGCUUUGCUAUCACUUAUAGAUGGACCUGCGCCGUAUUAGCUAGUUGGUAAGGUAACGGCUUACCAAGGCAACGAUACGUAGCCGACCUGAGAGGGUGAUCGGCCACACUGGAACUGAGACACGGUCCAGACUCCUACGGGAGGCAGCAGUAGGGAAUCUUCCGCAAUGGGCGAAAGCCUGACGGAGCAACGCCGCGUGAGUGAUGAAGGUCUUCGGAUCGUAAAACUCUGUUAUUAGGGAAGAACAAACGUGUAAGUAACUGUGCACGUCUUGACGGUACCUAAUCAGAAAGCCACGGCUAACUACGUGCCAGCAGCCGCGGUAAUACGUAGGUGGCAAGCGUUAUCCGGAAUUAUUGGGCGUAAAGCGCGCGUAGGCGGUUUUUUAAGUCUGAUGUGAAAGCCCACGGCUCAACCGUGGAGGGUCAUUGGAAACUGGAAAACUUGAGUGCAGAAGAGGAAAGUGGAAUUCCAUGUGUAGCGGUGAAAUGCGCAGAGAUAUGGAGGAACACCAGUGGCGAAGGCGACUUUCUGGUCUGUAACUGACGCUGAUGUGCGAAAGCGUGGGGAUCAAACAGGAUUAGAUACCCUGGUAGUCCACGCCGUAAACGAUGAGUGCUAAGUGUUAGGGGUUUCCGCCCCUUAGUGCUGCAGCUAACGCAUUAAGCACUCCGCCUGGG